GUUGUGUUGAUGAACUGUUAGUGAGUCGAGUGUUGUUCGUGUGUCAAGUUACUUCCAGUUCUUGUAAAGUGAUUGUAGUAAAGUAUUUUGAAGUUUGAUACCAGUUAUUUUGACAACCCUUCUGAUGAUUUCAUGAGCCUCCCUCUUGAGGUAAUUCGGUUUGUUUUGUAUGUUGCCUUGUAGAUUUGUUAUUUCCACGCACUCUCUCUCACUCUAGAAUUCAUUGGUUUCUCUCUCUAGUUUCACCCCGUUAUCCUCUUCGCGAGGACACAAGUCCACCAGCCCCAUAGCGCCGACCGUAGUGGUGUGCGGCGACGCUAUGCUCCUCCCACUACGGGUGGCCUAACCCCCUGUUUUUCUUGUUUGUUUUCUGCUCAUUUUCCAUUUCCAUUAUACCCUUUUGAGCACAAGAACUCAGACACAUUCUUCAUUUCCAUCUCUUGAUCUCCUUCUUUCUCUCUCUCAGAUCUGAAAUCACAGACCCAAAUCCACCACCAUCACCAUCAUCCGGUUACUGAAAUCCACCAACAACCUGCGAUAUUUUCCAUCUCCAUAGCAAAUCACCCUCGACCACAACGAUUUAUGUUUCAGAUCUGGAAUUCAACCCCUGUUUCUCACCCUACUCUCUCACACAUAACUGUGUGUCUGACAAAAAAAAAACAAAUGUGAAGGUGAUGAAGGAAGAUCGAACCUGAGUUUCUGGUCCGUGUCUGAAUCCAUGAAAUUGUUCUUUUAAUUCUUAAGAUUUUAAGGUAGAAAUUAGAGAAUUGAUUCUGUGCAGUUAGAUUAUUAGUUUAUGUGCUUGUUUUGGAUUAUUAAUUUUGGAACAUAAGAUAAAACAGAGAAUAAUGGUGGUUUGUAUUAUGAAAUAAUGUUUAAAGUUUAAUUAGUUUGGUUUAAUAGAAAUGUUGAAACUAAUUAUCUUAGUGGUUUUAGUGUUUCUAAGAGGGUGUUUGGGAUUACGUUUUGAAAUAAUUAUUUGAUUAUUGCGUUUGUAAAACAUAAAUAAUCUAAAAAAGUGUUUGGAUGAAAAAGUGAUUAUCUGCCUCCAAAACGCAGUUUUGGAGAAGCAUGUACCUACACGCAAAAUCUAUUUUGAAAACGCAUAAUCUAUUUUGAAAACGCAACACCAAACACCCCCUAAUUGUGGUGGAUCAUGAAUUUGGGACUGCUUUAAACUACUAGAGAAGGUAUGUAGUAGUGGCGGUUGGGAUAGUGGUGGCUAAUGGUGGUGAUGGAGAAUUGAUGUGAGAGAGAGGUGGAUAUAUAUAUAUAUAUAUAUAUAUAUAUAUAGAGAGAGAGAGAGAGAGAAAGGGAGAGGUGUUUUAUUUAUUAAAUUGUUUUUAAAUAAAUGGGUAAAAAGACUAGAAUGCCCUUUUGUUAACUAACUUAACUGAAAAAAUUAACUUGGUAAGGGCUAAGAGUAUAAGGAGUGGUUAAUCACUUGAGAGUGGUAAACUUAAAAAUCAACCAAUGAGAGUGUGUCAUGUCAUUUAGUGAAAAGUGUUUAAACUAUGCUGAAAAGUGUUGGCAAUGGUUAGACACUUGCUGAAUUGGUAAACUUUUAUUUUUAUUUUUUAUUUUUUGUAAACUAGUAUAAUACACGUGUACACAACACUCGUAAUUUUUCUAACGGUUCUUGCUCGCAUCGGCCGACUCAAUACACCUCAUUUCGCCUUCAAAACACCAAAAGCCCGUUCGACGUCUUUUCUUGCCGCCUCAUGUUGCCUCUUGAAUUUCUUUUCGUCUACUUCGUGAGGGUAUGGGAUCGACUUCACAAACACGGACCACGGAGGGUAGAUUCCAUCCACGAGCAAAUAAUCACGUAUGUAUAAAUGGUUGUUAACGUAAAAUGGACAUUUUGGCACGGUUCCAUUUCGUUCCGUUAAAAAUAACAGAGAUUGUUGUAGCACAUUGAUAUCGUUUUGUGAACCCGCUGGACCGCAAAAAGCAUGCCAAAACCAUAAAUCUUGAGAUGCAACCGCUUCGAGCAUAACAGUCGGGUAUUGGUGCUCUCCUCGCUUAUAUUGGCCUCGAUAAUCUGUGGGACAAAAUCGCCAAACGAAAUGGGUGCAAUCAAGGCUACUGAACAUACCUGGAAGGUGAUGUUUUUCCUCAUGAGCUUCGUAUAAAAGUGCCAUGUCGUGGCUUGUCGGUCUACGUAAGAACUCGGGAGCGUAUAUUUUGCAAACCGUGUCGCAAAAAUAUUCUAGGCACUUGCGGGAAGUUCUUUCGGCCAUAUGCAAGUACUCGUCGUUCUCGUCUGGAGUGUUACCAGUUGCGAGCUGUUUAAUAGCCGAUGUAACCCUUUGCAACGGCGUAAAGCCCUUCCUACCUCGCGCAUCGAGGGCCUCUUGAAACCACGAGUCGUUCGCUUCCACGUUGCUCACAAUUUUUAGAAACAAACGUUUUGACAUACGGAACCUAUGCCGAAAAAUAUCGUCGUUGUGUUUUGGGUCUUCGUCAAAAUAAUCCGCCAUGAGUGUCUCAUGCCCCACCUCACGUUGACGUUCAAUAUAUCUCUUUCGGUUACAUGUGCUCGUGUCUUGAAGUUCGGCGUCUUCGAUGAGAUUUUGGAAAAAAAGAAUGCUACUAUCGGAUGAAUCGUCGCUACUAUUGGGUGGGGACCAUAACGAGAGUUAAUUCGCCAUUUUGUUUUGUAAUGAUUGGGUUAAUGUUUGGUAUUUUUUGGUUUGGUUGGGGUAUAAAUUUGAAAGUAUUUGGGUAUGAUUUAUGUUAGGUAUUUAUAGUUUAAUUUUAAAAAUAAAAUAUAUAUAUUUUUUUAUUUUAAACGGCUAUAUAGCCGUUGCACAUGCUCCCAACGGUCAAAAUUGGCCCUUUGUCGAUCGGUAACCAAACACCGAAUGAUAACCUUCACCGCGCGGCACAGAUGGUUGGAGGUGGUGUUCCCGAGCGGCAAACAACUUUUGCCGAACCACUUUGUCGCCCACACCGUAUCUCCUAAAGGACAUAACAGUGGAAGCUACUAUGUAUCAGUCAUGUUCAUCACAAUGGGUGUUAAGGUGAUGAAAAAUCACCCCGUCGAAGUGGAAGCUACUGAAGUGAAGAAGACGCUUUAUUCUAUAUCAUCUACAUCGCUCAACCUCUGUCAACCCGGAUAAUGUAACCAUACAAGAAGUACUCAGUUUAACCACACGCUGGACCCCACAGCGUUACGUGAGGAUUAAACCCAUUGAAGCCAUCUUUAAGUUAACAUUGAAGGUGGGAGAAUCAUUGUUUAACAUCAGCUCAGUGAUAAAAAGUAACGUGUUUCCUACUACAUCAUUUGAAUCUGAUCAGCAGAUUGAUUUUGUGUCAAUUGAAGUACGUCUAUCCACGGAGCAGCUCAGAAGUCUAGCUAGUAAAAUGAAGUCUGGUAAUCUUUGGUUCUCACUCAUAGUGAACUAUAGGUUCAAAUAGCAUUUGGUAGGUUUCCCUCUGUACCCCAUAAUUUAUCAGAAUGCGGUCUUAUCGUGUGACUUGGGAGUUGGUCGUGGACCAACAUAUACAAUUUCUUUCACGACCAACUCCCAAGUCAUAUGAUAAGACCGCAUUAUGAUAAAUAAUGGGGUACAGAGGGAAACCUACCAAAUUCUCUUUGAACCUGUAGUUCACUGUGAGUGAGAACCAAAGACUAUCAGACUUCAUGUCACUAGCUAGACUUCUGAGCUGCUCCGUGAAUAGACGUAGUUCAAUUGACGCAAAAUCAAUUUGCUGAUCAGAUUUAAAUGAUGUAGUGGGAAACACAUUCCUUUUUAUCACGGAGCUGAUGUUAAACAAUGAUUCUCCCACCUUCAAGUUUAACUUGAAGAUGGGUUUAAUCCUCACGUAACGUUGUGAGGUCCAACGAGUAGUUAAACUGAGUGCUUCUUGUAUGGUUACAUUAUCCGGGUUGACAAUUUCUGGGAGGCUGGGCGAUGUAGAUGAUAUAGAAUAAAGCGGCUUCAUCACUUCAGCUGCUUCUAAUUAACACCCAUCGUGAUGAACAUGAUAGUUACACAUACGAGAUCAACCCGUACAUCAGCAUUUGCAUUCUCCGGCGGUGGUGGUGCACCAUUGAGAUCAACCCUUACAUUUGCAUUCACCGGCGGUGGUGGUGCACCAUCGAGAUCAACCCAUACAUCUAUAGGGAACAUUACACUGCCUAUGUGACGGGAAUUGAAGUCGGUGCAGAGUUUUUGAAUCUUUCAAAUGGAGCAGUAGAGAAGAGAAAGGCAGUAAUAGAUAGUGGUACAUCAUUGGUAUAUCUCCCAAAAGUGAUCUACAAGCCACUGAUCCUAGCAGUGCAGUCCGGUAUGUGAUCACAUGUUCUUCAUGACAAUUUUACAUGCAUUGGAAGUAGGGGUAUAAGUGUUGAUGAUGAGUUUCCUGCAGUCACAUUCCAUUUUGAAAAUUCAGUUUCAUUGAAGGUUGAUCCUCAUGAUUAUAUGUUUAUAUAUGGUGAUUUAAUGUGUUUGGGGUGGCAAGAGAAUUACAUGGGCUCCACAAGUGAAAGGGACAUAAUUGUAUUGGGAGAAUUGAUACUCUUGGAUAAGCUCUUCUUGUAUGAUCUUGAAAAGUAGACAAUUGGAUGGACCGAAUACAACUGUGAGUCCUAUGUUUUUAACGUGUUAAUUCGAGCUGGUCAAAGGGGGUUUGGGUCAACUGGUAACUUUCGGUAUGGGUUUAGGUUGACCCAACACCCCUUUUCUCCAAAAUAUUCAAAAUGUUGUAUAAGUAGGUAGUGUGUCGGAUAUGAUCACGAUAAACUAUAAUAAUCAUAAUCUUUGAAUGAAUUGAUUUUUAAGGUUUUAUAAUAAGCAAAUGUAACUCAUUUGACUAGUUUACUUUUAAGCUAACUUUUUUGGAUUUA